rnacentral:rRNA from 1 species
UUGGGAAACUGGUGCUAAUACCGGAUACACUUCUUAACUGCGGGGUAAAGGAGGGAAAGGUAGGCCGUCUUCAUGAAAGCUACCGUAUAGGGAUGAGCCUGCGUACCAUUAGCUAGUAGGCGGGGUAACGGCCCACCUAGGCAACGAUGGUUAGCGGGUCUGAGAGGAUGAUCCGCCACACUGGAACUGGAACACGGACCACG